rnacentral:misc_RNA from 1 species
ACCCAGACCUGUACGUACCAGCAAUAUAUAAACAAUUUAUCCGAAAUAAAUUGGUUAACAGGCCUAAUGUCCCGAGGCUUAAUAUAGAAGACUUAGGCAUAGAAGGCACCCAGAAGACCCAUGCAGAUGGUGAAGGACGAGGACAUGGAUACGAUCAAAGCCGGACUAGGAAGCGCCCACCAUGAAUGGCCAGACAAAAGGAAUGCGACGACAGCUGUAGCACAGGAAACCCUGCAAAAUGGAGCAAGUUAUAUACAAGAUAUCCCCAGACAGCCCUGAAAAUUACUAACAAAGAUCAGGAACCAACGGACCCCAAGGUGAUUCCUCCGAUGAAGCACACCCGACAGGUAAACCGAUAAACCCGAUGACCCCAGUGACUCCUCUGAAGAAGCACAUCCGACAAAAGGUUAUCAUGAUGCUGCCAACCUGCCACCACCACCACCCCCCAACAGCCAGUUUACCCCUAUGUUUGCCCGGAGCCAGGCGGCCAAGGACCUGUGAGGAUACGAGUCACGAUCAGCCAGUUGGAGCCUCCCAGGCAAUGUCAAAGAUGUCUUCAAAGAGUUUUUCUGUAGCUGCUGCGCAGAUGACGCUUCAUUACGACGUUAUGUAACAACUUGUAAAGCUCCAAGCGACGAAGGCGGCUUCUGCCGCUCCCGCUCCCGAUUCCACCGAUCAUUCUUUCUCUCCACGGACCUCCCUUUUUGUGCUUUUUUGCGAGAGAUAAUUUGCUAGCUUGGUCUCUUUCAUGCAGCGAGUGCAUGUGAGAUCAUCGAACAGAGCUGGAACGAAAUUCUACAUUCUGUAUACGCCCCGUGGCACAGCAGCAGCUCAUCAACCGAAGAGCCAGCACAAUCAUUACUUUGGCGCGGUGCAGUAAUUGAUGUUUGGUUGACGGCCAAGAGCAGGUUGCCAUUAUUUUACAUAACGCGACUUUGACAAUAAGCAUUAGCAGUUGCCAAGCUGAAGUUUCCGUAAAUGGGCAAUACCAAUACUUUAACAAACUGAGUCUUUGACUAGGUUCUAGAUUUUACCAUAGCUCAUAAGGCAAAGGCUCUCCAAAACACUUGCCUACAAACUCUCCACUCAAAGCCCACAAUCCAUCGGGUCAACGUUGCGUAUACGCAACCAAAAACUACUAGAAACUUGUCGCUGAAAAGCAAGAAAUCAGAAUUUGCAAUGAAUGAUCAUCAAAACAUCAACGUAGAUCGGAGCCAUUGGCACAUGUUCUUCAUUUGGCAGGCAAACAAGAAAUCUGCAUAAAUAAAUAUGUUGUACCUUGGUCGCGACUGGCGAGGAGGAGAACCAAAGUAUCUGCACUUGUUCAAUUUAGGGGCGCCGAAAAUCUGUUCUCCAAUCCGUGUUGUCAUCGUCGAUGUCGCGGUUGGCCUUGAUCGUGUUUAUUUCGGCAGCUAUAAGACACACUAAAUAAAUAAAUAAAUA